rnacentral:lncRNA from 1 species
CUCACAUUACUGGAGUAGGGAUAUAGUCACUCACAUUACUGGGGAAGGGAUAUAGUCACUCACAUUACUGGGGAAGGGAUAUGGUCACUCACAUUACUGGAGUAGGGAUAUAGUCACUCACAUUACUGGAGUAGGGAUAUAGUCACUCACAUUACUGGGGUAGGGAUAUAGUCACUCACAUUACUGGGGUAGGGAUAUGGUCACUCACAUUACUGGAGUAGGGAUAUGGUCACUCACAUUACUGGAGUAGGGAUAUAGUCACUCACAUUACUGGAGUAGGGAUAUAGUCACUCACAUUACUGGGGUAGGGAGAUAGUCACUCACAUUACUGGGGAAGGGAUAUGGUCACUCACAUUACUGGGGUAGGGAUAUAGUCACUCACAUUACUGGGGAAGGGAUAUAGUCACUCACAUUACUGGAGUAGGGAUAUGGUCACUCACAUUACUGGAGUAGGGAUAUGGUCACUCACAUUACUGGGGUAGGGAGAUAGUCACUCACAUUGCUACUGAUUAAAAGCCCACAGCCUAACAGACUUGAGAGAAGCAAGUAACUAAACUCAUUUCAUUCCUGUAAGAGUAGAUGCUACUACUCAAAUUAUUGCACAGUUAUCUUGGCAAUACCGGGGAGAAGAGACACUCUGCUCUUCCACAGAAUAUGGAUGGUCGUGGAUGGGAUUUGAGGUGAACGAACUGAUAAUUUGGAGGGGUUGCUAUAUGAUGGCCUGCAGUGUUGCAACACCGUAUCCAACACUGAGGUUAGGGAAAAUCAGAGAAACUGAGUCACAGAGAAGUUCCUUGCAAGGGCUGCUCAUCAGCUGUGGACCUUGCAGUUCGGACACUGGCGCUAAAUGAGAGAUCACUUCUACCUAUGUUCUGGAGGACAGCACACAUAAAUACUGAGGAAACACAAGGGAAACAUAAAGGAAAAGCAGAAAGUUUGCCUGCCUGUGUUGUGGUAACUCCCUAGGAAGGCAAGGCUGGCAUCUAACUCAUCUCUUCAGAACCAGCACCUGACACCAGGUGACCCCUGGAAGGUGUGGAGAGGAGUGACUAGUGGUAAGGUUAUGGGAGUCAGAGACUGGGGGGAUGGGUUUAGUAGGGGAGACAGCACUGGGAUUCCAGCCUGUGAAAGGAAGUUCCUCAAUCUCUUACUCAUGAACUGGCUUAUGACCUAAGGUCUGGGUUCCUGUCCUGGACUUGCUUGCAAUGAGUGAGGCCUGAGACAUCCAGGAAGCCACAGUUCAUAGAACACUUACAUUCUCUGUGAAUGCCAGGCAGUGAUAAGAAGGUUGGUUGUGGUGGUGAGGAUGAGGAUGAGGAUGAGGAGGCGGGUUAGGGUUAGGCCAGGAGAGAUUCUUGGAAGAGAUAGCCAGGAGAUGCAGUAACUGCAAAGCAGGCAAGAAUGGGGCAGAAGGCUGAUGCCCCUAGUUGGGCUUACAGUACAUUGAUGCAUCCCAGAAGCAUGGGAGAAAGCUGCUCUGAGUGCCCAGAACAAGAUCUGGAGGGAAAAGGAAAAAGAAUAGUUCUUCUCAUACCCAGGGCUAUCUCACAGCCCAACUCCUCUGCUGUGGGGCUUCAAAGUCUGCCAUGUGGAUGACACUCACACCCCCUCCUUCCUACUCCAGUGUGGAGGAGGGACCAGCUCCCAGUGGGAGGAGCAAGGGAGCUGCCUGCCUGUCUGGUCCCUCAUCUCAGCCAGACUGGGUAUCUUCCUCUUAAUUGCAGUCUUUUUCCUCAACAGACAUCGCUUUCUCAUCAGAGUCCCUUAAACCUCCCUUGGGGCUCCCAGCCAUCUUCCUCCUCCACUGGCCCAUAGCAGCUCUCAUGGUCUCCCCUGAGAUGGCCCACAGUGAUAAAACCCUGGUAAGAGAGUCAGGAGUGAAGGGGCCAACUUUCUUCAUCUUGGGCUUUCUUUCUCCUGGUUCCUAUAAUGCCCAAAACAAAUUUCUC